UACGAAGGGUGCAAGCGUUACUCGGAAUUACUGGGCGUAAAGGGUGCGUAGGGGGUUGUUUAAGUCUGCUGUGAAAGCCCCGGGCUCAACCUGGGAAUGGCAGUGGAUACUGGACAGCUAGAGUGCGGUAGAGGGUAGUGGAAUUCCCGGUGUAGCAGUGAAAUGCGUAGAGAUCGGGAGGAACACCUGUGGCGAAAGCGGCUCACUGGACCACAACUGACGCUGAGGCGCGAAAGCUAGGGGAGCAAACAGG
rnacentral:rRNA from 1 species